UUUUAAGCUAAGUGACCGUGAGGAUGUUGUAGUAUGUGCGUUGGGUUGAGGAUACGGUAUUAUGGCGCUGACAGGAUUUUUACGGUUUCUCAGACUUUCUUUACAACAACUGGAGUCCAGUUUAAUACAGACUGCAGGGUUUGACAGGAAUUUAUGUCCAGCUCUGGCAGUGCAUGGACCCAGCCUUCUUCCUCAACCACAGCACAUUAGAGAUGAUGACAGCUCUGAGCCCAGUUUCCUGGACAGCAUCUUCUGGAUGGCAGCACCUAAAAAGAGACGCACCAUCGAGGUGAAUCGCUGCAGGAGACGGAAUCCAAAUAAACUCCUUAAAGUCAAGAUGAACAUCGAGCCAUGUCUAGAGUGUGGGAACCUAAAACAGAAGCAUGUUCUCUGUGGGUUUUGCUAUGAGAAGGUCCAAAAGGAGACAUCCAGAAUUCGGAAGCAGAUUGAAAUCAUGGAAGGCCGUCCUCACAACGCACCCACUGCGGAGACUGUGGUUCUGUAUGAGAGCGAAGCUCCUCGUGACGUAGACAAGGAAAAGAGAAUAGUGGAGCGAAGCAGAAAACGUCCCUCCUGGUUUAACCUGUAAUUUACUGAGUUCCAGUCUCAGGCUGCUCACUUCAACCCCCUGUUCUACCCCAUCCUACCACCGCAGUUCUACCCCCCGACCUACUUCAUCAUGCCAGACCAGUUCUACCCCCCAUCCCACCCCGUUCUGAGAUCCGCCUCCUACUACCCUCCACCCGCAAUGAUGGGGAUGAACGAACGCCAUGUCCCGUCCGUCCAGGAGGAGAUUCUGGGAGGAAACGCUGUGUCUCCUGUGACACCACCUGAAGGUGGAUGUGGAGACAAUGGCUGUGUGAUCACUGCUCAGGCUCAUGUCCCUGACAUGCUCACACUCGAACCACCAGCACCAGCUGAAUCAGAGCCCGAACCUCAACCCACCUCCAGUCUGCCACCUGAAACUGUGGGCAUUGAGGAGCCUUUGUCCUCCAGAACCCCAAGUCCAAAGGCACUGAUGUGGGGCGAGAGAAUGGACAGCGUCGACCCAAUCCCAUCCAGACCCCCAACUCCAAUGUUACUCCCUUGGGGAGAACUAAUAGAGGAAAUGGGGUUCCAAAAGGAUGAGGGGCAGGUGGAUGACAUGCUGGAGGCAAAGUAGAAGGUUGAGGAGAAGGAGACGGGUGCAGUGGUCAGGGAGCUCAGUCGUCCCUCAGUCACAUCGACACGCCCUGACUGGAAAUGAGAAACUUUUGCAAAAAUAAACUCAAUUGAAAAAAGCUGCAC